ACGGUUGCCGAUGCUUGAAAACACACGGCAGACAUGCGUAUACAUAUCGCCCACGCCAGCCACGUAUGCUCAGGCUAAAAUAGAGCUACACUACAUGCAUAGGAAUAGGAGGCGCUACCCUGAACCGCCCGAUCCGCUGUUGGACGGCCGAUACUAGCUCGGUGCUCGGACCGACGUGCACGGGCCGCAAACACGACAUCCGACACGCGCGCGUUCGAAGCUUGGUGCCCCUCCUUGCCCCCUAUGUUGUCUCGUUUCUUCAUAUUUAGAUGUAGAAAUAUGGAGAUGACUGGAUCAGGAGAGAGACUCAGAUCGUCUUGCCCCCUGGGUUGUCUCGUUUGUUCAUAUUUUUAUAUUUUUUUUAUUAUUAUAAACUUGUUCAAAUGCCCUGAUCUAAAACCUUGUUCUGAAAUAGACGACGUAUCAUGCAUUUCAAAGUUAGAGUUUGAUCGAGAAUCGGAACACUAGAUGUUGGUCAUAUGACACAAGUAACGUGGAACCGUGGAUUCACAUUUGAAAUCAUUUUUCGCUAUGUGUUUUUAUUCUUUUUUCAGGCCCUGUCUAAAUCUUGAUACGCAAAAACUCUAUUUGGUCUCUGUUCAGUUGUUUAUUGUCAGUCAUAUGUUGGUCAGAUUAUUCUUAAGCAUCUCAUUCACUGGCAAUAAAACAUAGUUUGAUGCGGCAGUUUAAAGCGUUUUAGGCUAGUUUUCGGUACACUACUAUUUCUGAUCACCUGGUCGCCUUGUUUUAACUACAGAUUUCUUUGUCAAUAUAAACAGCGCUGGUUACGGUUGUUUCCUAAAAAAACACUCUUGUCAAAAAAACAUCAGUACAGUUUUAAUUAGAUUUUUUUUAUCAAACUAGAAAAGUCAAAAUUGACGCUUGAACGAUUAAUCACCUUAUGUAAAAAAAAACGCAUCGACUAGCUA
rnacentral:lncRNA from 1 species